rnacentral:rRNA from 1 species
UACGUAGGGUGCGAGCGUUAAUCGGAAUUACUGGGCGUAAAGCGUGCGCAGGCGGUGACCCAAGUCAGAUGUGAAAAUCCCCGGGCGUUAACCUGGGAACGUGCAUUUGUAAACUAGGUCGCUAGAGUAUGGCAGAGGGGGGUAGGAAUUCCACGUGUAGCAGUGAAAUGCGUAGAGAUGUGGAGGAAUACCGAUGGCGAAGGCAGCCCCCUCGGGUCGAAUACUGACGCUCAUGCACGAAAGCGUGGGGAGC